GACCAAUCAGGGGAUAUUGCUAUGCAUGUACUAUUCACUCACUAAUUCCUUUUCAUAAAUUUUAUAACUAUUCUGGUGUUCUAGUUAAUUAAAAAAUGAACGGAUUCUCAACUAAAGCCAUAGUAGGACCUAACAAAAACAACAAUAGCAACAGCAGCAGCAGCAACAACAAUAAAAAAACAGCAACAACAAUAAUAAUAACAGCAACAACAGCAACAACAAUAACAAUAACAGCAACAACAGCAAUAGCAACAGCAGCAACAACAGAAACAGCAACAGCAGCAACAGUAGCAACAACUAUAACAAUAGCAGCAACAACAACAGCAACUGCAACAACAAUAACAACAAAACAACAACAGCAACAACAACAGCAACAGCAGAAACAACAGGAACAACAGAAACUACAAAAAAGCAACAACAGCAACAGCGCAACAACAAUAGCAACUGCAACAAAAGAAACAACAAUAGCAACAGCAACAACAAUAGCAGCAGAAAAAACAACAACAAGAAAAGCAACAGCAGCAACAACAGGAACAACAACAGCAACAAUAGCAAAAGCAACCACAAUAACAGCACCAACAACAGCACCACCACCAGCAGCUAUAACAAUUGCAGCAACAACAACAAUAACAAUAAUAGCAACAAAAAACAACAGCAACAACAAUAACAGCAGCAGCAACAACAGCAACAACAAUAGUAGCAGCAGCAACAACAAGAGAAACAACAGAAGCAACAACAGGAAUAACAACAGCAACAAUAGCAAAAGCAACAACAAUAACAGCAACAACAACAGCAACGCAGCAACUAUAACAAUAGCAGCAGCAACAACAAUAACAUCAACAACAAUAACAGCAGCAACAAUGACAACAGCAAAACAGCAGGAACAAUAACAGCAACAGCAACAAUAACAACAGCAGCAGCAACAACAAUAACAUCAACAACAAUAACAGCAGCAACAAUGACAACAGCAACAGCAAAACAGCAGGAACAACAACAGCAACAGCAACAAUAACAACAGCAGCAGCAACAACAGGAAGUACAACAACAGCAACAAGAACAGCAGCAGCAGCAGCAACAGCAACAGCAAUAGCAACAACAACAGCAAAAACUAAAUCAAAAAUCACCAUCCCCUGUCUGACUUGCAAACGGCCCAUGUACUUCGGCUAGCUUCAAACUUCCAUAGAUCUGCCUUGCCUCUGCCUUGAGAGCUGGGCUCAAGGGCAUGUACCACCACACUGUCGUUUUUCCCACUCCUGUAGACAGAGGACUUUUAAUAAUGAAUCACAGUGCUGUUUGCUUCUGAUUUUGAAUUCAACCUCCAAAGCUUUCUCCAAAUCAUUGUGGAUGAAUGAUAUCAAUCCUCUGUUUCAGUAUCACUCUCAGUUAAUGGUACCAAUCACUUGCCCUUGCUGCUUGAACCCUGCUAUUGAGCUUUUGUGUUUGUGUUUCUUUCCUUUUUAAAAGAAUGUUUUCUUUAUUUUGGGGGGAUUGUAAUACCACUAUAUCAUUUUCCCCUCCCAUGUCCCUCUCCUUGUCCCCUUUCUUAUCUCUGUGCUCAAUUUUCAGUAAACAUUGUUAUAUACAUAUUCACGUAACAUUUUUGCCCGCAAGCUGUGACCUUUUUAAUUGUCAGCUUGGCAAGGUUUAUACUCAUAGUUAAUCUCUGAGCAUCUCUGUAAAGGCAUUCCACUGAGGGUGUUGAGGUCUAUCCUGUCUGUGGAGUUUCUCUGGAUAAAAAACGAUAGUUAGCUGACACCAGCACACUUUCCUGCCAUAUAGGACUGAACCCUUAAACUGGGAGGCAAGAUAAUCCCUUCUUUUUAAGUUGCCUUUGUCAUAUAUUUCAGCCUAGUAACUCUCAGCAGAUCUAGACUAAUGGUACUAAAGACCCUAUACUUUCCCAGUAAUGUCUUAUCUGGGAGCUUUCAUGUUUACAGAUCCUAAUUUACAUGGCUUUUGGUAUUAAAAACACCACUGCUCCUUUGUCUCCCCUCCCCCACCCCCUUCCCUUUUACCAUCUGUGACAAGCCCAUCAUCUUUAUUCAGCACCGGGGCUUCCUGUUUAAUCAUCCCAGCGGUUGAGCUAUGAGAGAUCUCGACUCGCAGUAUUUAUGGUUAAUCUUAGAUUUCAAUGUAUUCCGACCUUUGCGUUGACUCUUCUGGUAUAAAUAAAAAGAUGAUGUUUAAACACAUUCUGUGGUUUUGCUUUUUGCCUUUCCUUUCUCUAGCACAGGGAACCAAUCAAGGCAGGCUGUAGCAGAGGUAAAACAGGGAUGCAUAAAAUACCCU
rnacentral:lncRNA from 1 species